AGAUUGAACGCUGGCGGCAGGCCUAACACAUGCAAGUCGAGCGGUAGAGAGGUGCUUGCAUCUCUUGAGAGCGGCGGACGGGUGAGUAAUGCCUAGGAAUCUGCCUAGUGGUGGGGGAUAACGUUCGGAAACGGACGCUAAUACCGCAUACGUCCUACGGGAGAAAGCGGGGGACCUUCGGGCCUCGCGCCAUUAGAUGAGCCUAGGUCGGAUUAGCUAGUUGGUGAGGUAAUGGCUCACCAAGGCGACGACCCGUAACUGGUCUGAGAGGAUGAUCAGUCACACUGGAACUGAGACACGGUCCAGACUCCUACGGGAGCAGCAGUGGGAAUAUUGGACAAUGGGCGAAAGCCUGAUCCAGCCAUGCCGCGUGUGUGAAGAAGGUCUUCGGAUUGUAAAGCACUUUAAGUGGAGGAAGGUUGUAACUUAAUACGUUGCAACUUUGACGUUACCGACAGAAUAAGCACCGGCUAACUCGUGCCAGCAGCCGCGUAA
rnacentral:rRNA from 1 species